GGAUGGACACACUCACUCUGCUGUGGGCUGCUCUCUGUCUGAUCUGUGUGAAGUGUGAGACACUGACACAGCCAACCUCUGUGACUGUGCAGCCAGGACACACUCUCACCAUCCCCUGUACUGUCUCAUACUCUGUUAGCAGCUACUACACAGCAUGGAUCAGACAGCCUGCUGGGAAAGGCCUGGAGUGGAUUGGAAUGAAAUACACAGGAGGCACUCACCAUAAAGAUUCACUGAAGAGCAAAUUCAGUUUAAAUGUAGAUUCCUCCAGUAACACAGUGACUCUGAAUGGACAGAACAUGCAGCCUGGAGACACUGCAGUGUACUACUGUGCUCGGUAUCACACAGUCACACAAAGUAUAUGUAGAGCUGUACAAAAACAGUAAAGAGUGCAAUUCACA